rnacentral:sRNA from 1 species
ACACUUUAGAGUGCAAGGAGAUAACGGGCAACUUACAUAUGAACCGAUCGAAUGUGGCCCCCAAUAUCUCUAAUGGUAAUUAUCCGGAAGCUUCUCCAAACCGACAACCGAAGGAAAGGGAAAAUGCGAAGUUCAUCUGGCACCUUUCCUUAGAUCAAAUAACGCCAGCUUGGUAUUACAGUCGAUCAUCGACGCCUUGAGCCUUCUCCUCAACCUCAUUUAUUACCAUGGCGGUAUCUUCACUCUUACAGCAGUGUCUUUAUAUUUCCUGGAUGGAGAAUUGGUGAACAGGAAAUAAAUGCGACAAGUAGCGCGUUUUUGGUAUCAUUUGGCUGGGGAUCCUACAGUUAUACAUCCGUCGCAAUGAACGAUGGGCCCGGAAAGUCGUCAGUGGUUGCCUUCUUUUCUGCAAGUCCUUCAAAUACAUGUCAUACUUGUGAAAACCAAUGAACAGCCUGUUAAUAAGGGCUGAUAACGUCCACAAUAGAUCAGAAAGUACCUCUGUGUACUUAUUAAUCACGGGACUAUCCUCCUUGGCCCCAUGAUGUCGCCUC